rnacentral:rRNA from 1 species
UUUUUUAAUUGAAAACUUGUAUGAAUGGUUGAAUGAGAUAUUAACUGUUUUAAUAAAAAUAUUGAAUUUUACUUUUUAAUUAAAAGGUUAAAAUAAAGUUAAAAGACGAGAAGACCCAGUAGAUUUUUAUAUUUAUAAUAUUAUAAAAUUAAAGUUUAUUUAUUUUUUAAUAAAAUAAAAUAUUUUGUUGGGGUGAUAGUGAAAUUUAAUAAACUUUUAUUAUUAAUUUAAACAUUGAUAUAUGAAUAUAUGAUCCAAAAAUUAUGAUUACAAGAUUAAAUUACCUUAGGGAUAACAGCGUAAUUUUUUUUUAAGUUCUUAUUAAUAAAAAAGUUUGC